rnacentral:rRNA from 1 species
UACGAAGGACCCGAGCGUUAUCCGGAUUUAUUGGGUUUAAAGGGUGCGUAGGCGUCCUGGAAAGUUACGGUUGAAAUCUCCUUGCUCAACAAGGAAACUGGCCGUAAAACUAUCAGGAUUGAGUACAUUUGAAGCGGGCGGAAUGUGUCAUGUAGCGGUGAAAUGCAUAGAUAUGACACAGAACACCAAUUGCGAAGGCAGCUCGCUAAACUGUAACUGACGCUGAGGCACGAAAGCGUGGGAUCAAACAGG